UGCCAGACUCCUACGGGAGGCAGCAGUGAGGAAUAUUGGUCAAUGGCCGAAGGGCUGAACCAGCCAAGCCGCGUGAAGGAAUAAGGCCCUACGGGUCGUAAACUUCUUUAGUCAGGGAACAAAGGGAGCCACGCGUGGCGCUGUGAGUGUACCUGAAGAAUAAGCACCGGCUAACUACGUGCCAGCAGCCGCGGUAAUACGUAGGGUGCGAGCGUUAAUCGGAAUUACUGGGCGUAAAGGGUGUGCAGGCGGUUUUGCAAGAUGGAUGUGAAAGCCCCGGGCUUAACCUGGGAAAGCCAUACAUGACUGCAAGACUAGAGUGCGUCAGAGGGGGGUGGAAUUCCAAGUGUAGCAGUGAAAUGCGUAGAUAUUUGGAAGAACACCGAUGGCGAAGGCAGCCCCCUGGGACGCAACUGACGCUCAUACACGAAAGCGUGGGGAGCAAACAGGAUUAGAUACCCCGGUA
rnacentral:rRNA from 1 species